UACGAGUGCUUCAAGCGUUAUCCGGAAUCAUUGGGCGUAAAGGGUGUGUAGGCGGCUCUGUUAGUCUCCCGUUAAAUCUUUCGGCUCAACCGAAGGCUCGCGGGGGAAACGGCAGGGCUUGAGGACGGGAGAGGUCUCUGGAACUCUAGGUGUAGCGGUGAAAUGCGUUGAUAUCUAGGGGAACACCGAAAGCGAAGGCAAGAGACUGGCCCGCUCCAGACGCUGAAACACGAAAGCGUGGGUCG
rnacentral:rRNA from 1 species